GCCUAGAUAGCUUAGUUGCUUAGAGCAUGGUGCUGAUAACACCAAGGUUGUAGAUUUGAUCCCUGCAUGGGACA